GGUACGUGGGUGAGGGUAUGGAGGAGGGAGAGUUCUCCGAGGCCAGAGAGGACAUGGCAGCUCUGGAGAAGGAUUAUGAGGAGGUGGGAACUGAUAGCUUGGGAGAGGAUGAUGAGGGAGAAGAGUAUUAAAUGACUUAAUGGUCCUGUGCCAUUUAUUUCUGUCAUAAAUAAAGUUUGUUCAAUGACUGCAA